GUGCCAGCAGCCGCGGUAAAACCAGCACCUCAAGUGGUCAGGAGGAUUAUUGGGCCUAAAGCAUCCGUAGCCUGCUCUGUAAGUUUCCGGUUAAAUUCAUUAGCUCAACUAAUGGCCUGCCGGAAAUACUGCAGAGCUAGGAAGUGGGAGAGGUAGACGGUACUCGGUAGGAAGGGGUAAAAUCCUUUGAUCUAUUGAUGACCACCUGUGGCGAAGGCGGUCUACCAGAACACGUUCGACGGUGAGGGAUGAAAGCUGGGGGAGCAAACCGGAUUAGAUACCCGGGUAGUCCCAGCUGUAAACGAUGCAGACUCGGUGAUGCCCUGGCUUGUGGCCAGUGCAGUGCCGCAGGGAAGCCGUUAAGUUUGCCGCCUGGGAAGUACGUACGCAAGUAUGAAACUUAAAGGAAUUGGCGGGGGAGCACCACAAGGGGUGAAGCCUGCGGUUCAAUUGGAGUCAACGCCAGAAAUCUUACCCGGAGAGACAGCAGAAUGAAGGUCAAGCUGAAGACUUUACCAGACAAGCUGAGAGGUGGUGCGUGGCCGUCGCCAGCUCGUGCCGUGAGAUGUCCUGUUAAGUCAGGUAACGAGCGAGAUCCCUGCCUCUAGUUGCCACCAUUACUCUCAGGAGUAGUGGGGCGAAUUAGCGGGACCGCCACAGUUAAUGUGGAGGAAGGAAGGGGCCACGGCAGGUCAGUAUGCCCCGAAACUCUGGGGCCACACGCGGGCUGCAAUGGUAGUGACAAUGAGUUCCGAAACCGAAAGGUGGAGGUAAUCUUCAAACGCUACCACAGUUAUGAUUGAGGGCUGCAACUCGCCCUCAUGAAUAUGGAAUCCCUAGUAACUGCGUGUCAUUAUCGCGCGGUGAAUACGUCCCUGCUCCUUGCACACACUGCCCGUC
rnacentral:rRNA from 1 species